UACGGGGGGGGCAAGCGUUGUUCGGAAUUACUGGGCGUAAAGGGCUCGUAGGCGGCCAACUAAGUCGGACGUGAAAUCCCCAGGCUCAACCUGGGAACUGCGUCCGAUACUGGUGGGCUCGAAUCCGGGAGAGGGAUGUGGAAUUCCAGGUGUAGCGGUGAAAUGCGUAGAUAUCUGGAGGAACACCGGUGGCGAAGGCGGCAUCCUGGACCGGUAUUGACGCUGAUGCGCGAAAGCCAGGGGAGCAAACGGG
rnacentral:rRNA from 1 species